rnacentral:rRNA from 1 species
GCAACCUACGGGGCGCAGCAGUAGGGAAUCUUCCACAAUGGACGAAAGUCUGAUGGAGCAACGCCGCGUGAGUGAAGAAGGGUUUCGGCUCGUAAAGCUCUGUUGGUAGUGAAGAAAGAUAGAGGUAGUAACUGGCCUUUAUUUGACGGUAAUUACUUAGAAAGUCACGGCCAACUACGUGCCAGCAGCCGCGGUAAUACGUAGGGGGCAAGCGUUGUCCGGGUUUAUUGGGCGUAAAGCGAGUGCGG